ensembl:lncRNA
AUGCCGGAUCUAAGACCAAAGCCAGCCUUUCUCAAGCAAGAGGAAUGGCCAGCGAGUGGAAUCCCACCGUGGAGGCGGCAGGUGGGAAGCGAACAGAAGGUGGGGGCCUGGCUAAAGCUCUCUGAACAAUUUAGUCAGUGUGCUGCUGAAGCACCCACUGAAAGGAAGUCCCGGGAAGAAAGGCAUUAUCAUAAAGAUAUGAAAAUGAACUUGGCGUGUGAUACUACUACUCAUAUCCAGAAGCAACGAAGGGUUUGUCUCGGAGUAGCUAAACCAAUGGGACUUGGAACUCAGCCACACUGUGCACGGCGCAGGGGAGGGGAGCAGAACCCAAGGAGCCAAUACGCCAGACUGGGAGGUGUUCCCCUCCUCCCCACCAGGUGCCCCUGUCCCUGGCUGGCCCUAGGCGGCAUGCCCCAGGCCUACACUGCACACCUGCACUCCGCCCAAGGGAUGGGGGCUUUUCCUGGAGAAACUGAACCAGGCCGCAGAAAAGACUGGAUUUUACUGAAUCUGGCCGGGCAGGGGCUCACCUCCUACACAGCCAGCUCGGGGACAAGGGUCUCUGAGGGCCACCUAGCCUUCCCGGGCGCCCCCAGCCUGUCUCUGAGAGACUCGCUCCUAAGUAGGAAAGAAGAGCAGAUGAUGAUACGCUAGUGAGGACAGUGACAGAUCUGCGAGGACAUUUUGAAAAUUCCCAUGAGUAGCUCAAAUUAAGCACAUGAGAAACCAAGGCUGAUGUUAACGAUAGGGAAAUAAGUCACACGAGAGAAAACAUAGAAGCCAAGUCCUAUUCGGAUUAUGCACAUGGAUUAAAUAAUUCAAAUGCUGCAGCUUUAAGUGCUCAUGGUGACGGCUAGGCCCUGGACCCUGGGGAGCGCAAAGCCUGUGCACGGUCCAGGUGACAGCCGAGAGAAUUCAAUCUUCCUCACGAGGACCUCUCGAAAACAAGAAGCCAUCAUGAAACACCGGUGCAACGUCUGAUCUAGAAGGAAGAAAUAUUUGAAACAGCGGAAAUAAGAGGCUGGAAGUGGUGGUUUCUUGGAUGCAAGACGGGAGAGGAGGAGAGAAGAGGGUGAUUCUGUGUCUGAUUCUAAGUGCUUCCGUUCUGCUGAACAUUUUAUCAAAAACUGUCGCCUCUUUGGGCUGACUGUGUGGCUUCUCUCUAGUCUCUGAAGUUCCACUGUGCCCUGCUGUUGGGGUCGCCUCUAGUUUACACAAUCCCUAACGUGCGGGUUAAGGAAGACAUUCUUUCUUUGGGACAGAAGCAGCCCCGGGCCAGCACAUGGGGUCUGCAGAGGGCCAAAGGGCAGGACGGGGGCUGGAUUUCAGCUCCAUUGGCUCUGAGCACAUCAGGAAACCACACAGCAGCCCUGUUAUAAAACAUAAGCCCUGCCAUUAAAGCCAUGUAAACUAAAGAUGGUAGCAGUGCGAGAGAGUGUGGCAGAAAAACAGGACCAGGGAAAAACCUACCUGAAAUUUCCUAAGAUCAAAUUUUUAAACUCGUGGUUUGCCUGCGAACAGCUGUGGUGACAUGGUGCAGUGGAAAUGAACACCAUCAGAAACACCGUGAACGGGCCAGGGUUUGGCUGCCCUAGACAAGCACGGGGCCCUGGGGAGGAAGGCACAGGUAGGUACUGCAGGUGCAUUUACUCAACUGUCAACCACCGAUGGGUGUGAUUGCAGGGAGGGAGGGAGCGCCGGGCCAACCUCAGGAUGAGAGAAUGAAAGUCUGGUCUCAAGAAGAAAUGGAAGAUGGCUGCACCAUCCUGCGCUCUGGCCAGGCUCUGUGUGGCCUGGGGAUCUUCAGAGGUCAUCGCCUGUGCCCAGCGAGGGGUCUGCAGUGUUCAGGGACUGGACAGUCCUUUCACAGCAGGCAGGAGGCCCGAGAUCACAAGUUAUCUGCACGUAGUCUCAAAGGGAAGAGUGGUCACAUGUCAGAACCUUGUUCAAUGGAGGUAAACAGUUAAAGGGGGAGAGGGAGCAAAUCAAUGUGAAGCAGACCUCACUCACUCAAUAGAGCUUUGAACAAACAAAAGGUGUUGCCUGACACCACUGGGAUCAAGACUGGGCCCUUGGGGCUGGUGUUGUGGCCCAGCAGGCUAAACCACUACCCGCAAUGCUACAUCCCAUCCAGAGUGCUGGCUGGAGUCCUGGCUGCUCUCCUUGUGAUGUAGUCCCCUGCUGAUGCGCCUGGGAGAGCAGUGGAAGACGGCCCAAAUACGUGGGCCCCUGCCCCCAUGUGGAAGAUCCCAAGGGGGUUCCUGGCUCCUGGCUUCAGCUUGGCCCAGACUUGGCUCUUGCAGGGAAUGAACCAGCUCAUAGAAGAUUCUCUCUCUCUCUCUGAAACUCUGCCUUUCCAAUAAAUAAAUCUUAAACAAAACA